rnacentral:rRNA from 1 species
CCCGAGUGUAGCAAUACAAGCGGGGCGAGAGUGGCGAAAGGGUGCGUAACGCGUGGGCAACCUGCCUUCCAGUUGGGGAUAACCCCGCGAAAGCGGGGCUAAUACCGAAUGUGACGGUGGUGCUUCGGCAUCAUUGGUUAAAGACGGGGAUUCUUCGGAACCUGUCGCUGGUUGAGGGGCCCGCGUCCUAUCAGCUUGUUGGCGAGGUAACGGCUCACCAAGGCUUACGGGUAGCUGGUCUGAGAGGAUGGUCAGCCACACUGGGACUGAGACACUGCCCAGACUCCUACGGGAGGCUGCAGUCGAGGAUCAUUCGCAAUGGGCGCAAGCCUGACGAUGCGACGCUGCGUGGAGGAUGACGGCCUUCGGGUUGUAAACUCCUGUCGUUUGGGAACAAGGAACCGUCGUUAACACCGGCGGAACCUGCUAGUACCGAAAGAGGAAGCCACGGCUAACUCUGUGCCAGCAGCCGCGGUAAUACAGAGGUGGCGAGCGUUGUUCGGAUUUACUGGGCGUAAAGGGUGCGUAGGUGGUUUCGUAUGUCGGGCGUGAAAUCCCACUGCUCAACGGUGGAACG